UACGGGGGGGGCAAGCGUUGUUCGGAAUUACUGGGCGUAAAGGGCUCGUAGGCGGCCGACUAAGUCAGACGUGAAAUCCCUCGGCUUAACCGAGGAACUGCGUCUGAUACUGGACGGCUCGAGUUCGGGAGAGGGAUGUGGAAUUCCAGGUGUAGCGGUGAAAUGCGUAGAUAUCUGGAGGAACACCGGUGGCGAAGGCGGCAUCCUGGACCGACACUGACGCUGAGGAGCGAAAGCCAGGGGAGCAAACGGG
rnacentral:rRNA from 1 species